rnacentral:tRNA from 1 species
AGGCUUGUAGCUCAGGUGGUUAGAGCGCACCCCUGAUAAGGGUGAGGUCGGUGGUUCAAGUCCACUCAGGCCCU